rnacentral:misc_RNA from 1 species
CAACGGCCACAAAAAUACUGAAGCAUAAGUUAAGCAAAUUGUAUGGAUACUACGGAUACGGAUACAGAUACGGUUGGAUGCAAGUCUUCCUACUACUGACACUCCACGUGAUUGGUAAUCAAAGUGCCUGGCAGGAGAAUAUACGACCAAAACUCUAUGUGGAAUUAGGUCCCGAAGAUAUACUGAAGUUUCUGGGAAACGAAAGUGUCGUGGAUCACUUUAAGCUCGUCACCAAGGAUGGCAACAGUCUGCUCAUCGGUGCAAGAAAUACGGUCUUUAAUUUAAGCAUACACGAUCUCGCUGAGCAGCAGCGCCUGGUCUGGACAUCGCCGGAAGAUGAUACCAAAAUGUGUCUCGUCAAGGGUAAAGAUGAGGAGGCCUGCCAGAACUAUAUCCGCAUCAUGGUGGUGCCGUCGCCGGGGCGCCUCUUUGUGUGCGGCACCAACUCGUUCCGGCCCAUGUGCAACACGUACAUGAUCAAUGAGAACAACUACACGCUGGAGGCGACCAAAAAUGGCCAGGCUGUCUGCCCCUAUGACCCCCGUCAUAACUCCACCUCCGUGCUGGCGGACAAUGAACUGUAUUCGGGCACUGUGGCCGAUUUCAGCGGCAGUGAUCCGAUUAUCUAUCGAGAGCCCCUGCAGACCGAGCAGUACGAUAGCCUCAGUCUCAACGCCCCGAACUUUGUGAGCUCAUUCACGCAGGGAGAUUUCGUGUAUUUCUUCUUCCGCGAGACAGCCGUGGAGUUCAUCAACUGUGGCAAGGCGAUUUAUUCGCGUGUGGCCCGCGUCUGCAAAUGGGAUAAGGGUGGACCGCAUCGGUUCCGCAACCGCUGGACAUCGUUCCUCAAGUCCCGCCUGAAUUGCUCGAUACCGGGCGAUUAUCCCUUCUACUUCAAUGAGAUACAAUCGGCCAGCAAUCUGGUGGCGGGAGAGUACGGUUCGAUGAGCUCGAAACUAAUCUACGGAGUCUUUAAUACCCCCGCCAACUCGAUACCCGGCUCAGCGGUGUGUGCCUUUGCCCUGCAGGACAUAGCGGAUACCUUCGAGGGCCAGUUCAAGGAGCAGAGCGGCAUCGGCUCCAACUGGCUGCCGGUAAACAAUGCCAAGGUCCCUGAACCGCGUCCCGGCUCCUGUCACAACGAUUCACGAACGCUUCCGGAUCCGACAUUAAAUUUCAUCAAAACACAUUCGCUAAUGGACGAGAAUGUGCCGGCGUUUUUCGGUCAGCCGAUUUUGGUCCGGACGAGCACAAUAUAUCGCUUCACCCAGAUAGCUGUCGACGCCCAGAUCAAAACCCCGGGCGGCAAGACCUACGAUGUCAUAUUCGUGGGCACAGAUCACGGGAAGAUCAUCAAAUCGGUGAAUGCCGAAUCAGCUGAUUCCGCUGACAAGGUCACCUCCGUGGUCAUCGAGGAGAUCGAUGUGCUGACCAAAAGCGAACCGAUACGGAAUCUGGAAAUAGUCCGGACCAUGCAAUACGAUCAACCCAAGGAUGGCAGCUACGACGAUGGCAAAUUAAUCAUUGUGACAGACAGCCAGGUGAUAGCCAUACAAUUGCAUCGUUGUCACAAUGACAAAAUCACCAGCUGCAGCGAGUGCGUCGCCUUGCAGGAUCCUUACUGUGCCUGGGACAAAAUUGCCGGCAAGUGUCGCUCCCAUGGCGCACCACGUUGGCUGGAGGAGAACUAUUUCUAUCAGAAUGUGUCCACUGGCCAGCAUGCGGCCUGUCCCUCAGGCAAAAUCAAUUCAAAAGAUGCCAAUGUGGGCGAGCAGAAGGGUUUCCGGAAUGACAUGGACUUAUUGGAUUCGCGUCGUCAGAGCAAGGAUCAGGAAAUCAUCGACAAUAUUGAUAAGAACUUUGAAGACAUUAUCAAUGCCCAAUACACGGUGGAGACCCUGGUGAUGGCCGUGCUGGCCGGAUCGAUAUUCUCGCUGCUGGUUGGCUUCUUUACAGGCUACUUCUGCGGCCGGCGCUGCCACAAGGACGAGGACGACAAUCUGCCCUACCCGGACACGGAGUACGAGUACUUUGAGCAGCGUCAGAACGUCAAUAGCAGUUUCCCCUCGUCGUGCCGAAUCCAACAGGAGCCGAAGCUGCUGCCCCAGGUGGAGGAGGUGACCUAUGCAGAGCCAGUGCUGCUGCCACAGCCACCGCCGCAGAACAAGAUGCACUCGCCGAAGAACACGCUCCGCAAGCCACCCAUGCAUCAGAUGCACCAGGGACCCAACUCGGAGACGCUCUUCCAGUUCCAGCCAGAUGGCUACAACACCCAGCAGACAUAUCGCGGACGCGACAACUUUGGAACGUUGCGCUCCCAUCAGGUGAUGGGCGACAACUAUCGACGCGGCGAUGGCUUUUCGACCACACGCAGCGUCAAGAAGGUUUACCUUUGAGACGGGAGUGGGGCGGCUGAAACCAGUCAGGGACUAAUUACCCAAAAUAUGGCUGUAAACAACACAAACACACGAAACAGAAGUCUUGGUCGCGCAAGAAGACAGCCGCCCCGUCAUGGUAUCG